UCUCUGGUCUGUAACUGACGCUGAGGAGCGAAAGCGUGGGGAGCGAACAGGAUUAGAUACCCUGGUAGUCCACGCCGUAAACGAUGAGUGCUAAGUGUUAGGGGGUUUCCGCCCCUUAGUGCUGCAGCUAACGCAUUAAGCACUCCGCCUGGGGAGUACGGUCGCAAGACUGAAACUCAAAGGAAUUGACGGGGGCCCGCACAAGCGGUGGAGCAUGUGGUUUAAUUCGAAGCAACGCGAAGAACCUUACCAGGUCUUGACAUCCUCUGACAAUCCUAGAGAUAGGACGUCCCCUUCGGGGGCAGAGUGACAGGUGGUGCAUGGUUGUCGUCAGCUCGUGUCGUGAGAUGUUGGGUUAAGUCCCGCAACGAGCGCAACCCUUGAUCUUAGUUGCCAGCAUUCAGUUGGGCACUCUAAGGUGACUGCCGGUGACAAACCGGAGGAAGGUGGGGAUGACGUCAAAUCAUCAUGCCCCUUAUGA
rnacentral:rRNA from 1 species